rnacentral:rRNA from 2 species
UGCAGUCGAACGGCAGCAUGAUCUAGCUUGCUAGAUUGAUGGCGAGUGGCGAACGGGUGAGUAAUACAUCGGAACGUGCCCUGUAGUGGGGGAUAACUAGUCGAAAGAUUAGCUAAUACCGCAUACGACCUGAGGGUGAAAGUGGGGGACCGCAAGGCCUCAUGCUAUAGGAGCGGCCGAUGUCUGAUUAGCUAGUUGGUGGGGUAAAGGCCCACCAAGGCGACGAUCAGUAGCUGGUCUGAGAGGACGAUCAGCCACACUGGGACUGAGACACGGCCCAGACUCCUACGGGAGGCAGCAGUGGGGAAUUUUGGACAAUGGGCGAAAGCCUGAUCCAGCAAUGCCGCGUGUGUGAAGAAGGCCUUCGGGUUGUAAAGCACUUUUGUCCGGAAAGAAAUGGCUCUGGUUAAUACCUGGGGUCGAUGACGGUACCGGAAGAAUAAGGACCGGCUAACUACGUGCCAGCAGCCGCGGUAAUACGUAGGGUCCAAGCGUUAAUCGGAAUUACUGGGCGUAAAGCGUGCGCAGGCGGUUGUGCAAGACCGAUGUGAAAUCCCCGAGCUUAACUUGGGAAUUGCAUUGGUGACUGCACGGCUAGAGUGUGUCAGAGGGGGGUAGAAUUCCACGUGUAGCAGUGAAAUGCGUAGAGAUGUGGAGGAAUACCGAUGGCGAAGGCAGCCCCCUGGGAUAACACUGACGCUCAUGCACGAAAGCGUGGGGAGCAAACAGGAUUAGAUACCCUGGUAGUCCACGCCCUAAACGAUGUCAACUAGUUGUU